rnacentral:rRNA from 1 species
AUUGAACGCUGGCGGCAGGCCUAACACAUGCAAGUCGAACGAGUGGCGGACGGGUGAGUAAUGUCUGGGAAACUGCCCGAUGGAGGGGGAUAACUACUGGCAACGGUAGCUAAUACCGCAUACCAUCGGAUGUGCCCAGAUGGGAUUAGCUUGUGGGUGGGGUAACGGCUCACCUAGGCGACGAUCCCUAGCUGGUCUGAGAGGAUGACCGGCCACACUGGAACUGAGAUACUGUCAAGACUCCUACGGGAGGCAGCAGUGGGGAAUAUUGCGCAAGGGGCGCAAGCCUGAUGCAGCCAUGCCGGGGGUAUGAAGAAGGCCUUCGGGUUGUAAAGUACUUUCAGCGAGGAGGCGUUACUCGCAGAAGAAGCACCGGCUAACUCCGUGCCAGCAGCCGCGGUAAUAC